AAAGAGCACCUAUUAUGGGAUACACGUUUUUAAACAUCCUUUUGUGUGUAAGUGUGCAUUAGUACAUGCUAACGAUAUUCAAAAAGUACAUACCUCAAAGAAAACGAUGACGCGAGUUAUCGUCUCUAACGUUCGAGGACUACAAAAAACACUCGGAUUGAAGGCAACAGUUUACUUCCUGGGAUUAGUGACGUAGAUAAGACCAACAUUAUCAUAGUUCAGCCCUCUCUGCUUUGCUUGGGUACGCCCUCAAAGACGAGGGUGGGGUGGGGAGCGCCGAGUCAGAAGAGAGCUAAAAUGGCGGAGGUUGGGAGUCCCUGCUUUGCCUCUGUUUGCAAACUCUUGUUUCAUCGUUUAAGCGAUUAAAUCUCUCGAGUAGACGCUGUCUCUUUAGAUGCGAGGGCAAAAUAGCACUUUAUGGACUUACACAGAGGACAUCAUGUUUAAUACGGUUCCGGAAAAUUCCAGUCAGAAGUUGUUCACGGAGUUUUCACAAUAACUGCUUCUCAUGAACCGAAGCUGGAUUUGCGCGACGUCUCCUCUUGAAAGUUGGAUUACUGUGCACUUCUGGAUCACAGACUAUUCGCAGCUGUACACAUCCUUCUACACUGUAUGCAAACAUGCAACAUCAUUACACACAGUACAAGGAGUCAGACUGGCAUAUGAGGAGCAAAGGAACCCACGCAGUAGCAUCGUUUCACAAUGUUUCCAUCAUCAUCAUCAGUGGAUGCCUUUGCCGUCCGUAGCCUGAGAUUUCAGAUUUGCAGCAAAAAAAAUUGAUUUUCUCAUUUAUUGGAAUGCUGUGCAGGUAUUUGUACCUUGCAGCCAUCCAUUACAAUGUCACCAAGCCGUAACAAAAGCAGGAGAGGGAAAGUACAAGGCUAUGUUCCCAAAACACAAAUGACAUCCUUUAUGUGGAGGAUGUGAUCAGGCUUGUGUUUGAUGAGGUAUUUGAAGAUAAGCUGAAGGAAACCCCGAUUCCAAUGGACCUGGCAUCACAGUUUGAGAGACCUUCAAAGGAGGACGUG